rnacentral:misc_RNA from 1 species
GCGGAGGAAAAGAAACCAACAGGGAUUGCCCUAGUAACGGCGAGUGAAGCGGCAACAGCUCAAAUUUGAAAUCUGGCUCCUUUCGGGGUCCGAGUUGUAAUUUGCAGAGGAUGCCUCGGGUGCGGGUUCCUUCCGAGUUCCCUGGAACGGGACGCCAUAGAGGGUGAGAGCCCCGUCUGGUCGGAAACCCAGCCCGUGUGAGGCUCCCUCGACGAGUCGAGUAGUUUGGGAAUGCUGCUCUAAGGGGAGGUAUACUCCUUCCAAGGCUAAAUACCGGCUAGAGACCGAUAGCGCACAAGUAGAGUGAUCGAAAGAUGAAAAGCACUUUGAAAAGAGAGUCAAACAGCACGUGAAAUUGUUGAAAGGGAAGCGCUUACUACCAGACUUGGGUUCGGCGGUUCAACCGGCGCCACGCGCCGGGGCACUCCGCCGGCCCAGGCCAGCAUCAGCUCUCCGUCGGGGGCAAAGGCGUCGGGAAUGUAGCUCCCUCUCGGGGGAGUGUUAUAGCCCGGCGUGUCAUACCCUUCGGGGGGCUGAGGACCGCGCUUCGCAAGGAUGCUGGCGUAAUGGUAGUCAGUGACCCGUCUUGAAACACGGACCAAGGAGUCAACCUUAUGUGCGAGUGCCCGGGCGUAAAACCCCAGCGCGUAAUGAAAGUGAACGUAGGUGAGAGCUUCGGCGCAUCACCGACCGAUCCUGAUGUCCUCGGACGGAUUUGAGUGAGAGCAUAUAGGGUUGGACCCGAAAGAAGAUGAACUAUGCGUGUGUAGGGUGAAGCCAGAGGAAACUCUGGUGGAGGCUCGCAGCGGUUCUGACGUGCAAAUCGA